rnacentral:rRNA from 1 species
GAUGAACGCUGGCGGCGUGCUUAACACAUGCAAGUCGAACGGUGAACGAGGGAGCUUGCUCCCUCCGGAUCAGUGGCGAACGGGUGAGUAACACGUGAGCAAUCUGCCCUGGACUCUGGGAUAAGCGUUGGAAACGACGUCUAAUACCGGAUACGAGACGCGUAGGCAUCUUCAGCGUCUGGAAAGAACUUCGGUCCAGGAUGAGCUCGCGGCCUAUCAGGUAGUUGGUGAGGUAAUGGCUCACCAAGCCUACGACGGGUAGCCGGCCUGAGAGGGUGACCGGCCACACUGGGACUGAGACACGGCCCAGACUCCUACGGGAGGCAGCAGUGGGGAAUAUUGCACAAUGGGCGCAAGCCUGAUGCAGCAACGCCGCGUGAGGGACGACGGCCUUCGGGUUGUAAACCUCUUUUAGCAGGGAAGAAGCGAAAGUGACGGUACCUGCAGAAAAAGCACCGGCUAACUACGUGCCAGCAGCCGCAGUAAUAC